rnacentral:rRNA from 1 species
CGGGUCUAGUGGCGCACGGGUGCGUAACGCGUGGGAAUCUGCCCCUCGGUUCGGAAUAACAGUUAGAAAUGACUGCUAAUACCGGAUAAUGACGAAAGUCCAAAGAUUUAUCGCCGAGGGAUGAGCCCGCGUAGGAUUAGCUAGUUGGUGGGGUAAAGGCCUACCAAGGCGACGAUCCUUAGCUGGUCUGAGAGGAUGAUCAGCCACACUGGGACUGAGACACGGCCCAG